ACAUACGACCAUAGCUGCCAGCAGAGCUCAGAAACCCGUCCGAUCUUCCAGGAGAAUCUGGCAAGCGCUGGAUUAGUAGUUGGGUCGGUGACGACCAGCGAAUACCUAGUGUUGUAUGUC
rfam:Metarhizium album ARSEF 1941 scaffold_4, whole genome shotgun sequence.